UCGAACGCCGAAGGCCCCUUCGGGGGCCGAGUAGAGUGGCGUCCGGGUGAGUAACACGUGAGUAAUUUGCCUUCGGGUGGGGAAUAACAACCGGAAACGGUUGCUAAUACCGCAUAAUGCAGCGGCACCACAUGGUGACAGUUGUUAAAGCGGGGGAUCGUAAGACCUCGCGUCUGAAGAGGAGCCUGCGGCAGAUUAGCUAGUUGGUAAGGUAACGGCUUACCAAGGCGAUGAUCUGUAGCCGGCCUGAGAGGGCGGUCGGCCACACUGACACUGACAUACGGGUCAGACUCCUACGGGAGGCAGCAGUCGGGAAUUUUGGGCAAUGGGCGAAAGCCUGACCCAGCAACGCCGCGUGAAGGAUGAAAUCCUUCGGGAUGUAAACUUCGCAAGAACGGGAAGAAUAAGUGAGAGUUAAUAUCUCUCGCGAUGACGGUACCGUUUGUAAGCUCCGGCUAACUCCGUGCCAGCAGCCGCGGUAAUACGGGGGGAGCAAGCGUUGUUCGGAUUUACUGGGCGUAAAGGGCGCGUAGGCGGCCACCGCAAGUCGACUGUGAAAUCUCCGGGCUUAACCCGGAAAGGUCAGCCGAUACUGCGGGGCUAGAGUGCAGAAGGGGCAACUGGAAUUCUCGGUGUAGCGGUGAAAUGCGUAGAUAUCGAGAGGAACACCUGCGGCGAAGGCGGGUUGCUGGGCUGACACUGACGCUGAGGCGCGAAAGCUA
rnacentral:rRNA from 1 species